rnacentral:rRNA from 1 species
ACGGGUGAGUAACACGUGGAUAACCUACCUAUAAGACUGGGAUAACUUCGGGAAACCGGAGCUAAUACCGGAUAAUAUUUUGAACCGCAUGGUUCAAAAGUGAAAGACGGUCUUGCUGUCACUUAUAGGUGGAUCCGCGCUGCAUUAGCUAGUUGGUAAGGUAACGGCUUACCAAGGCAACGAUGCAUAGCCGACCUGAGAGGGUGAUCGGCCACACUGGAACUGAGACACGGUCCAG